rnacentral:rRNA from 1 species
UACGUAGGAGGCAAGCGUUAUCCGGAUUUACUGGGUGUAAAGGGAGCGUAGACGGCAGGGCAAGUCUGGAGUGAAAGGCAGGGGCCCAACCCCUGGACUGCUCUGGAAACUGUCCGGCUGGAGUGCAGGAGAGGUAAGUGGAAUUCCUAGUGUAGCGGUGAAAUGCGUAGAUAUUAGGAGGAACACCAGUGGCGAAGGCGGCUUACUGGACUGUAACUGACGUUGAGGCUCGAAAGCGUGGGGAGCAAACAGG